rfam:Triticum aestivum genome assembly, contig: Triticum_aestivum_CS42_TGACv1_scaffold_375423_5AL
UUACUACUCCCUCCGUUCGGAAAUACUCGUCUUAGAAAUGAUUGUAUCUAGACUUAUUUUAAUUCUAGAUACAACCAUUUCUAAGACAAGUAUUUCCGAACGGAAGAGAAUAGUAC